UGGUUGACCAACUAUUUAAUUUUACAUAAAAUACUUAUAAAAGUUGCUGGAACGAUCGGAAUGGAAGUUACUUCUGCAAUAGAAGUCAUGCUAAUGCCAUGGCGUUUUCUGAUUGGUUACGUCAACCCCCCACUUUCGAGUGCCGCCGUUUUUCCUGUGUUGCAGAAAACCAGGUGCAGUCCCUUAAUGCUACAAAUACUUCACAUUUUUUGAUUGGUCAAUUCAUAGAAUUCUUUGUUUUGAUUGGUUAAUCAAAUGCUUCGAAGUUUUGGUAGCGCUAAAAGGACCGUAGUCACCAUAAUAUUAGUUUCACUCUCGUGGGGACAGUAUCCUUAAAGGUGCAAUUUCAUGUAGUGAAGCAAAGCUGGUUUUUACCCUCACUCCAUCUCAAUGCAAAACAGCGUUGAAAAGCUAUCGCUAUCGCCUCCUUCCUUUUCAUAGAGCAAAGAAAAGCUAGCGUUUUAUCCCUACUCCACCUCAAUGCAAAGUAGCAUAAAGACUUUAAAGCAUUUGUAGUGUCAAAUGUGCUGUAGCUGGAAAGUUAUUGUAAUUAAAAAAAAAAACUAAAUUUCUUAUUUUGUCUUAAAAAUAAAUUAUAAUAGUCAUUGUCAAUACAUCGAAUACAUGGAGUAAUAUAGAUAUAUAGUAGCAAUCAUCGUUGCAGUAGAGAUCAGGAGACGCAUAAUCGGUGUACUUGCUAUGAUACAUUUAAAAUUAUGGCGUAUCAUUUUAACUGUUGGACAAUAUCGAACUUUCAGCGAAAAUUGAUGGAGAGAGGGUAAAAGCUAGCUUUGCUUUGCUGCAUGAAAUUACACAUUUAUUGUGCAAUCGUUGUUAUUGCUGAACACCACCACAAAGUAUAUCAAAAAGCCUACCGCCUGACUGAGCUCUUAGCAAGUUUUUAUACCCGAUUGAUAUAUUCUUUUAUAAUAAAAAAAAAAAAA